UACGAAGGGUGCAAGCGUUACUCGGAAUUACUGGGCGUAAAGCGUGCGUAGGUGGUUCGUUAAGUCUGAUGUGAAAGCCCUCGGCUUAACUGAGGAAGUGCACCCGAAACUGAGUAGCUGGAGUACGAAAGAGGGUCGCGGAAUUCCCGGUGUAGAGGUGAAAUUCGUAGAUAUCGGGAGGAACACCGGUGGCGAAGGCGGCGACCUGGGUCGAGACUGACGCUGAGGCGCGAAAGCGUGGGGAGCAAACAGG
rnacentral:rRNA from 1 species